rnacentral:rRNA from 1 species
GAUGGACGCUGGCGGCGUGCCUAAUACAUGCAAGUCGAGCGAACAGACUAGGAGCUUGCUCCUCUGACGUUAGCGGCGGACGGGUGAGUAACACGUGGAUAACCUACCUAUAAGACUGGGAUAACUUCGGGAAACCGGAGCUAAUACCGGAUAAUAUAUUGAACCGCAUGGUUCAAUAGUGAAAGACGGUUUUGCUGUCACUUAUAGAUGGAUCCGCGCCGCAUUAGCUAGUUGGUAAGGUAACGGCUUACCAAGGCAACGAUGCGUAGCCGACCUGAGAGGGUGAUCGGCCACACUGGAACUGAGACACGGUCCAGACUCCUACGGGAGGCAGCAGUAGGGAAUCUUCCGCAAUGGGCGAAAGCCUGACGGAGCAACGCCGCGUGAGUGAUGAAGGUCUUCGGAUCGUAAAACUCUGUUAUUAGGGAAGAACAAAUGUGUAAGUAACUAUGCACGUCUUGACGGUACCUAAUCAGAAAGCCACGGCUAACUACGUG